GGAGAGGUGCCGGAGCGGCCGAACGGGCUCCAUUGGAAAUGGAGUGUCCGCCCAAAAGGUGGACCGUGGGUUCAAAUCCCACCCUCUCCG
rnacentral:tRNA from 1 species